rnacentral:lncRNA from 1 species
AUGCAGACCCAGGCUGGCCCAGGACGAGCUUUCCUCGGAAUCAGAGGCCAGUGUCCCCGCAGACCUCGGGAGGCCAGGGCUUGGGAGGUGCUGUGCUCCUCGAUUCCAUCACCUGCUUCUGUGCAGCCCCCCGAUCAGGCUCCAACUCUCAUCCGCAGCCGAGGAGGGACGCAUCCGCGGCCGGCGGUAACGAGGGAGGGAUGCAGAGGAAGCAGGGUGCCCACACUCAGCAGGGUGCCGUCAAGUGGCCUCUGGGCUGGGGCCUCUCCGCGUGGUCCCCCUUCUUCCCGAGCAUCUCUCAGGUCCUGGAACACAGUCCCGCAGCCCCCUCGCUGGCGGUCUGUGUCUUUCCUCUGCCGGCGUUCCUGGUGGUACAGCGUCCGGCAACCCUACCCAGCCCAGUGCCUGGGAGAAUGGCACUGGAGGCCAACUGACUGAGUUUGAGUCCCAGCUCGGCCACUUAUAGGCUGUGUGACCUUGCGCAAGUUACCUGAACCCCCUGUGCCUCAGUUUCUACAUCUGUCUAUUGAGGAUAAGAAUGGCGCCUGCCUGGCUGGGGUGUGGGGGGAUGGAGGCAGGCUUAAGGAUGCCCGCACAGGCCAGCUCUGGAUCAACAUUAGUCAUCAUCACCCAGACACGCGCUGACAAUGGCUAGGAACAAAGGGACGCCAAGGCCUUGCUAAUCCUCCACGCUCACCCUCGGCACUCGGCUUUCCCCAGGCCCUGGGAUGAGCUGCCUUCCUUUCUCCAUCAGCACCUUCCCAUCCUCUUCCCUCCGUCCCAGUGGCUCUCUCCCCCUCGCCUGGUCAACCCCUCUUCCCCUCACGUCUGCGACCAGCAUCCCUCCAGCUUCUCCUUCACUCAUUCAGCAAUCAUCAUCCAGCACCUACUAUGUGGCGGUCUCUGCUUUAGAUCAAGGGUCAGCGAACUGUGGCCCUAGGGCCAAAUCCAGCUGGCCAGCUGCUUCCAUGCAGCCCUCCAGCUAAGAAUUAUUUUUACACUUUUAAAUAGUCGGGGAAAAAUCAAAAGAAGAAGAACAUUUCGUGACACAUGAAAAUUACAUGAAAUUCAAAUUUCAGGAUCCACAAAUAAAGUUUGAUUGGCCCAGGGCCA